rnacentral:rRNA from 1 species
UUGAAGAGUUUGAUCAUGGCUCAGAUUGAACGCUGGCGGCAGGCCUAACACAUGCAAGUCGAACGGUAGCACAGAGGAGCUUGCUCCUUGGGUGACGAGUGGCGGACGGGUGAGUAAUGUCUGGGAAACUGCCCGAUGGAGGGGGAUAACUACUGGAAACGGUAGCUAAUACCGCAUAACGUCGCAAGACCAAAGAGGGGGACCUUCGGGCCUCUUGCCAUCGGAUGUGCCCAGAUGGGAUUAGCUAGUAGGUGGGGUAACGGCUCACCUAGGCGACGAUCCCUAGCUGGUCUGAGAGGAUGACCAGCCACACUGGAACUGAGACACGGUCCAGACUCCUACGGGAGGCAGCAGUGGGGAAUAUUGCACAAUGGGCGCAAGCCUGAUGCAGCCAUGCCGCGUGUAUGAAGAAGGCCUUCGGGUUGUAA